rnacentral:rRNA from 1 species
AGUGAACGCUGGCGGCAGGCCUAACACAUGCAAGUCGAACGGAAGCAGAGAGAUAGCUUCUUGGUUCGGCUGCGGACUGGUGGGUGGGGCCGGGGAAUCUCCGAGUUGACGUGUUAGCGCGUGAUGAAGCAGGCGCUCAUACCCUAUAAGCCCAUACGACGUAAGUGUGAUAGCUUGGGACCUCUCGCUAUCACAUGAGCCGAUGUCGGAUUAGCUAGUUGGUGGGGUAAAGGCCCACCAAGGCGACGAUCCGUAGCUGGUCUGAGAGGAUGAUCAGCCACACUGGAACUGAGACACGGUCCAGACUCCUACGGGAGGCAGCAGUGGGGAAUAUUGGACAAUGGGCGAAAGCCUGAUGCAGCCAUGCCGCGUGUGUGAAGAAGGCCUUCGGGUUGUAAAGCCCUUUUGGUGGGGAAGAAAGGCAGUAGGUUAAUACCUCGCUGUUCUGACGGUACCAAAAGAAUAAGCACCGGCUAACUUCGUG